rnacentral:tRNA from 1 species
GGCCGGGUAGCUCAGUUGGUUGGAGCAUUGCUCUGAUAUGGCAAGGUUUUAGGUUCGAUCCCUGGUGAGGGCA